CCUACGGGUGGCAGCAGUGGGGGAUAUUGCACAAUGGGGGGAACCCUGAUGCAGCGACGCCGCGUGGGUGAAGAAGCGCCUCGGCGCGUAAAGCCCUGUCAGCAGGGAAGAAAAUGACGGUACCUGAAGAAGAAGCCCCGGCUAACUACGUGCCAGCAGCCGCGGUAAUACGUAGGGGGCAAGCGUUAUCCGGAUUUACUGGGUGUAAAGGGGGCGCAGACGGCGAUGCAAGCCAGGAGUGAAAGCCCGGGGCUCAACCCCGGGACUGCUCGUGGAACUGCGUGGCUGGAGUGCAGGAGGGGCAGGCGGAAGUCCUGGUGUAGCGGUGAAAUGCGUAGAUAUCAGGAGGAACACCGGUGGCGAAGGCGGCCUGCUGGACUGCAACUGACGUUGAGGCCCGAAAGCGUGGGGAGCAAACAGGAUUAGAUACCCCAGUAGUC
rnacentral:rRNA from 1 species